rnacentral:lncRNA from 10 species
UCCUGCUCUCUGCCAGGACAGCCUGGGGGUCGCAGGGAGGGGGUUUGCCCUGCAGCACGGAAAGGGUGGGCCAGGGGCUGCGAGCCGCAGGGCCUCCAGGAAGGGCAGGUGCGGGACUGGGAUGCAGAGGGUAGUGGCCUGGACUCUACACGAAAUGGAGUGUGGGCUCCCAGCAGGCCACCGCCCUGGCGUCAUCCUCAAAGAGCCACGUGGCAAAGGCAGUGAGAGGCACACAGUUCCCAUUGUGCCCAGAGAUGUCCCAAAGCACAGUGAUGACAGGGAUUCCCAGAGAAGGCAGUGGGAUUUGCUGAGCAUGGAGAGUGGUGAGGCCUGGGGCUUUGUGUUGGAGAAACAUCGCCUUCACAUAUGAGGACCAGACCCGUGUCCCGGCCCAGCUUUCCCGACCUGACCCCAGCAGGAGCAGAUGGCAUUUUCUGUGGGUCCAGGAGGUGAGAAAGGCGGCAGGGGAUAAACAGGAACGCAUGCCACCUGCUGCGAGGAAAACAGUGCCGAGCAGGACGCGCAGAAGCCAGAAUGUGUGGGCCGGUAUUGUGGCCCCAGGCCGAGUGGCCUCUCCAUGACACAGAUGUCAGGGUUUAACUCAGACCUGCCAAGUGGAGCCUCCGCAGCAGGCCCAGGAAACCCAGAGACCGGCCCUGUUCCCCGUGAGGAUUCAGGCACCACGGGCUGGAAAGCACACUCCCUCGGAACGUCUCAGGGACAGUCAUCAGGACCAGAUUCUGGAAGGACGCAGGGUGGUCUCUCCCAUCUUUGUUUCGACUCCUCUCUCCUCUCUGAUCGACACCCCUGAGGCAGCGCUGCGAGCGAGCCGUGUGUCUGGAGGCGGUGUCUGUGUGCAGCUUGACUCCUAAUCCAUAUCGCAAACAGCUUCCAGAUGCUUCCAGCCCCAACCUACUCGGGGAUUCCUGCCCUUCACAGAUGCCUCUCCAGGAGGGGGGUCUGUCUAUACAGAAAAGAAAUGGCCCUGCAGAAACGUGGAGUCCCACACAGGAAGGAGCCUUGUGAAGAGGGGGUAGGAUCACAUGUUUGUGUCCACAAGCUGAGGACUGCUGGAGCCCCAGAAGCUGGAGGGGUGGGGGAGGACCUUCCCCUAGGACCUUCAGAGGGAGCCCCAGAAGGUGGAGGUGUCGGGGAGGACCUUCCCCUAGGACCUUCAGAGAGAGCGGAGCCCUGCCGACACCUUGAUCUCCAGCUUCUAGCCUUGGUCUGUUCUUGCACUGCUGUCAAGAAAUACCAGAGACUGGGUAAUUUAUGAAGAAAGGAGGUUCAAUUGACCAUGGUCCUGCAGGCCACACAGGAUGCUCGGUGCUGGCAUCCGCUUGGCUUCUGGGGAGGCCUCAGGAAGCUACAAUCACUGUGGAAGUCAAAGGGGAGCAGAUGUCACAUGGCCGGAGCAGGAGCAAGAGUGUGGAGGGGCCACACGCUUUUAAACAACCGGAUCUCCUGGGAAUUCAUUCACGAUCGUGAGGACAGCACCGGGGGUUGGGGGGGGGGUGGCACAAAAGCAUUCAUGAGAAAUCCACCCCUGUGGGCCAGUCACCUCCCACCAGACCCCACCUCUAAUACUGAGAAUCACAAU